rnacentral:rRNA from 1 species
UCUUCCCUCUGGCGGCGUGCCUAAUACAUGCAAGUCGAGCGAACAGACGAGGAGCUUGCUCCUCUGACGUUAGCGGCGGACGGGUGAGUAACACGUGGAUAACCUACCUAUAAGACUGGGAUAACUUCGGGAAACCGGAGCUAAUACCGGAUAAUAUAUUGACCCGCAUGGUUCAAUAGUGAAAGACGGUUUUGCUGUCACUUAUAGAUGGAUCCGCGCCGCAGUAGCUAGUUGGUAAGGUAACGGCUUACCAAGGCAACGAUGCGUAGCCGACCUGAGAGAGUGAUCGGCCACACUGGAAGUGAGACACGGACCAGGCUCCUACGGGAGGCAGCAGAAGGGAAUCUUCCGCAAUGGGCGAAAGCCUGACGGAGCAACGCCGCGUGAGUGGUGAAGGUCUUCGGAUCGUAAAACUCUGUUAUUAGGGAAGAACAAAUGUGUAAGUAACUAUGCACGUCUUGACGGUACCUAAUCAGAAAGCCACGGCUAACUACGUG